AGAUUGAACGCUGGCGGCGUGCCUAACACAUGCAAGUCGAGCGGAAAGGCCCUUCGGGGUACUCGAGCGGCGAACGGGUGAGUAACACGUGAGCAACCUGCCCUUAGCUCCGGGAUAGCUCCGGGAAACCGGAAUUAAUACCGGAUACGACCACGGCCGACAUCUGCUGUGGUGGAAAGGAUUCCGGCUAAGGAUGGGCUCGCGGCCUAUCUAGCUAGUUGGUGGAGUAACGGCCCACCAAGGCGACGACGGGUA
rnacentral:rRNA from 1 species